AUAAACAUGCGUAAUCGUGCUCGGCCAAAGUUUGACCAAAAAAAAGACACACCAACUAUCCAAAAAAAAAAUCAUCUAUGGACCAUAAUAACCAUAUUAUUAAAUAUUAAUUGAUGUAACAUCUAAACAUGCGUACAAGACCUAUAACUCAUCUGGUUUAGUGUUGUCGUGGAAUCGUCAUCUGGUUUAAAACUUACAUAAAAUUUCAUUAAAAAGAAAAGAAGGAAUCUUGUGAUACUGUAUACAAUAUAGAAAGCUAUUUUCUUCAACGAUAAGUUGAGCUACAAGUUACAUAUUUUUCUCAACCUUUUGUGGCAAGUUAUAUGGAUCAGAGUGAAUGAAAUAUAUCUGUCUUGAUUUUAAGACUUUUGGACCACUUCAACAUUUUGGAGUUUUGUAAUUCAUAACAAGAUGUUUUCUUUCUUAACUUAUAUAUACAUAUUUAUUUUACUGCUAGACUACUAAUGUGGUAAAGUGUUGUUUGUUUCUUAAAAAAACCAUAAAAUACAACUACUUUUCCACAUUUUACCUUCUGCGACAUCACAUAUAUCAGUCUUCUGUCUCUCAGUUCUAGUAUUUUUUAAAAGUGGAUUUUCAAAGAUUUAGCUUCGUGGAGUUAUGUACCACUCAAAUAUUAAACAACAAUAUAAGAAAUUUGUUUCAGUAUCCGUUAGUAGUAUAAUCAUCUUUUCUUGUAUAUAGAUCAGGAGUGUGAUUUGAGCUUAGAUUUUCUCCUUGGGCUUCAACCCAUUUGGUUUUGGAAUAUUUUAUGUUUUAUAAACACUCAAACAAAGAGAAACUAAUCAAUACAAUACUAAAAGAGAAUAAUCUCAACUCUUAGCUAUGCCACGUCAUCAAAAAUAAUCCUCGAAUCAUAGCUCUUUAUUUUUGGGUUGGGCUUCAAAUCACAAUUGAAUGGGCUUUGUUUCACUUCCGGGUUAUGGGUCGAAUGUGUUUCGAUUUUGUCGUUGUUUUGGUUUUGUCUUUUAACUAAGUCGCGAGUCUGCGAGUUUCUUCUCCUCAUCCCCAAUUCACUUCGUCUUCUCACUUUCAAACCGUAGCUUCUAAGUUUUUUCAUCCUAUUCUUCACAAUCAAUUUCGCAAUCAAUCUCUUCUUAGCGAAGGAGAUGAGGAAGAGAAGCGCGAGAAAGAGGAGAGCCGAGGCAGGGCCACCACUGGUGCCCGAUCCGAGAGAGGAAAUUGGAGGCAAGGAGGUAGAUGUGGGGACGCUUGGUCUUGGAUUCGUCGGCGCCGGAUUCGCCGGAAUAAGAGAGAUCGGCGGAAGGAGAGAGCGCGAUCGAGCAUCGUCGUCGCGUUGGCCCGUAAACCCAUUAACGAGACCUAAUCAGAGAGCGCACCACCAAACCGUCACGAGGAUCUCUAUCUCAUUCUCUGUUGCGCAGGAGACGAUCUCCAUCUCUAUUCUUCCUUUCCGAACCUGAGAAACGUGAACGGAGAUGGUACCUUUGUCAUUAUCUCAACAUAAUCUCUGGCCACCGGAAUCUGUAUCUACGGUGUUUCGGGGUUACGCAACCGCCACAUCGAAACACGCCUGCGACCAUCUUCGCCGUCACCUCCGACUUGGCUUCCAUAUCCGCUCUUCCCUUCAGAUACUGCUGCAAGUCUAUGAUGCUGCACGAACGGAGUUCUCAAGAAGAGUCGUUGUAUUCAACAGGGCUAAGUUUCUUCACUCCAGAGAUGAUAUCAGAUCUUCGUUAUAUGUAUGUUUCUUUAGUGGAUGAGAGAGUAGGAUAGGUCCUAGAGGUGAGGAGGGGUCAUCAUCAAACCAUGAGACAUCCAAGAGAAACACAAGCAGUGGACGGAGGUGGACCAAUGUCCUCCUUGCCGUUAACGUUAUAAUGUAUUUGCACAAGUUGCAUCCAAUGGUAGAGUGCUGACAUGGGGAGCCAAGAUUAAACGUUGUUUGUUCUCUUCUCACUGCUUGCUCGAAACAGGUAUGUUAAUUAUUUUUUUGGUCCUGUGGAAUUUCAGGGCUUUGUUUUUUUUUAAUAAGUUACAAUGUUUAGAUUAAGAGUUUUGAAUUUAAUGAGUUUGGUGGAAGCUCAACGUUGGCUGCAACUCUUACUUGGGACAAUGAACUGUCCUGGACACUGGAGAAUACUACUGAAGAACUUUAAGAGACUAUGCUUUAGGUUUCUUCUGUUGUUAUGAGGUUACGUAUAGGGAGUCUCUAGGAUUAUAUGUUCUUAGCAAGAAUUAUGUUCCCACAAAAGGAUCGCAUUACACUGCUGUAAAGAAGGCUUUGGAGAUGAUUAAGCAAAAUAUUUCAUCUCUUAGUAAGAGUGAAGGGCAUGAUGCUUAUCACUUCUCUCUGCAACUAACUGGUGCACCAGCUCUUAUCGGGAACACGAUAUGUAUAUAAGUAGUCUCUUGGUGAAUUAUGUUUGAUUCACAUAUCUUGAAGAAAUUUUGUUAAAGAUAUGUGCAUUUUGUUUGACAUACAUCUUUGUGCAAUCACCUGAGAGGAUUUUCCAAAGGAACCGGUUAGGCGUCCGCAGUGAAGCUUUGACUGCAACUAGGCCUCGAGCUGCUUCAACUGCGUGUGAUAUCGAGAUAUAGCGUUACUUACUAACCAGGUGAGUUUUUAAUUCUACUGUUUUAAAAAAUCACAUAAUCCCAAGCCCUUUUUUCAUUGAAAUUUCCGGAUAUGCAUACUGAUUUGGUUUACCAAAUUGCUGCAGCCCUAAAGAUGACUUGAGUUUCCGGAUAUUCCUAUUGCUCUGCAUCUUUUAAACCUUUUGUCUAUAGUUAGUUUGAAUUUUGACUCUUUAACAAGUGUACUGACACAUGUUAUAUUAUCAUAUUUCUUCC